rnacentral:lncRNA from 1 species
UGUUAACAUCACAAAGAUGUUGUUGUAACUCAUGGAGUCCCCAUAAUGACACCUAAGAUGAGCCAGGCUCAAAAACAGAAUUAGGACUCACAGUCAUGCUGAGAAAAAUGUUCCACUAUGUUUGCCUUAUGAAAUAUAGUAAUAUAAAAGGAUGUGAUGUAAACCAUAUUUCAGGAAGAGAGUAACAAAGAUGUAAAACAAAAAUGGAGUGGUUACACGUCUGAGAUGCGCAUGUCCUUAUAUGUGUGGGAAUGCUAUCAAUGAAGAACACCUUGAAUCAGGAAUGCGUGUGCUCUCCACUUUUUCAUCAACAAGUCUCCGGAAAUUUAACUAGUUUUAGAUAAAGAACAAAGAGCAAAGAGAAUGAUAAGCUUUCCUUACAAGCUUUUAUCUCAUAAAUUCUUCCUAAAUCUUUGACACAUACUACUGAAUGUCUGUAUAAGAAUAAGAUGACAUCUGACCUAGCACAAAAUUACAUCUUUUGUCAUAUCAGCUUUUCAUGAGAUUUCACAAAGAGCACCACGACAUCCAGGUGUCCCACCACAGGAACAAGACUGAUAAUCAACUACUUGGAAAUAAUGGAAACCAGAACUCUAAGGAACCCACAGAAGGUCAGUUCUCAAAUCACCAGCCACUGGGGAGCAAAUGAGCCAACCUCAAAAUUCACAAGCAGUUACAGUGCUGUGUGUCUCCCAUGUGUACUGGACACUGUGUCGUAUGGGGCUCCUCAUGUUGGGAAGGAGAAGGGACAUCUGAAACUGAAGGAAAGGAAGAUUUUCAAACUCGAGGCUUUUGAUAUUUUUAAAAGUACAAGUGUGAAGAGACAGAAAGUCAUCACAGUACUCCACCCAAGAGAGAACACCUGA